rnacentral:rRNA from 1 species
UACGUAGGGUGCGAGCGUUAAUCGGAAUUACUGGGCGUAAAGUGUGCGCAGGCGGCCGAGCAAGUCGAGUGUGAAAGCCCCGAGCUUAACUUGGGAACUGCGCUCGAAACUACUUGGCUAGAGUGUGGCAGAGGGAGGUGGAAUUCCACGGUGUAGCGGGUGAAAUGCGUAGAGAUGUGGGAGGAACACCGAUGGCGAAGGCAGCCUCCUGGGCCAACACUGACGCUCAUGCACGAAAGCGUGGGGAGCAAACAGG